AUGAUCAUCGCCGAAAUCGAUGCACAGAUGACCGGCACCAGGGAGGAGUUCGACAGCGAGGCGGUGAUCUGUGCUGCCAUGGUCAAUGAACAAGCCCAACGAGGUGGGAGACCACGCUACUCAUCGUCACUGAUAAAGGGUUCAUCAACAUCGUCGUCGGGUUGCUCAAGCACUCUGACAAGGAGAGCCUUGCGAGAAAGAACAAAUCAGGAUUCAAUGCCCUGCACAUCACUGCAAAGGAAGGCCACGGAGACCCUACUUGUGCCAUUGUGUGUUCCUCCACUUCUGGCCUCCUCCAUUACCAGUGACUAA
rnacentral:rRNA from 1 species